GAAUAUUGGACAAUGGGGGCAACCCUGAUCCAGCCAUGCCGCGUGUGUGAAGAAGGCCUUCGGGUUGUAAAGCACUUUAAGUGGGGAGGAAGGCUUGAUGGUUAAUACCCAUCAGGAUUGACGUUACCCACAGAAUAAGCACCGGCUAACUCCGUGCCAGCAGCCGCGGUAAUACGGAGGGUGCAAGCGUUAAUCGGAAUUACUGGGCGUAAAGCGCACGUAGGUGGCUGAAUAAGUCGGAUGUGAAAGCCCUGGGCUCAACCUGGGAAUUGCAUUCGAUACUGUUCGGCUAGAGUACGGUAGAGGGAGGUAGAAUUCCUAGUGUAGCGGUGAAAUGCGUAGAUAUUAGGAGGAAUACCGGUGGCGAAGGCGGCCUCCUGGACUGAUACUGACACUGAGGUGCGAAAGCGUGGGGAGCAAACAG
rnacentral:rRNA from 1 species